rnacentral:lncRNA from 1 species
GGUCAGCCCAGUGUGGUCCCCCAAAACUGUAGAUCUCCUAGACGGUGGGAAUGGUUAAGAGCUUGAAACCGCCCUGGCGUGACGCAGUGCUCCUCACCCUACUUCCCCUGUUCCUCCGGGGUACAGGGUCCCUGUCCGAAGGCCGGGCCAGGGAAGCUGGGAGCCCGGGCGUUGCUUUGGGAGGAGGGCAGAAGGAAGACGCAAGAGCCUGUUGGGUCUUCCCUCCGCCAGCUGCCCACAGAGCUCCGGAACCUCCCCAAAGAGGGGCUGGAAGGGAGUCCCAGGCGGGAGAGGCCUCGAGUCGCCCCGCGGUAGGCUCACAGGUCCCGCGGGUCUUCCCGCUUGACCCCGGCCUCGGCAACUUUGAGCUUCUUAUUCUGGUGCGUCUUGACGUGCUUGGCGAGGUGGUCGCUGCGCAUGAAGCGCUUCCCGCACUCUGGGCAGGCGAAGCGCUUCUCGCCGGUGUGAGUCCGCAGGUGCCGCUGCAGCUCAUCCGAGCGCGUGAAGCUCUUGCCGCAAAAGAGCCAGUUGCACACGAAGGGCCGCUCGCCCGUGUGCCAGCGCAGGUGCGCCUUGAGGUGCGACGUCUUGCCGUACACCUUGCCGCAGCCCGGCACGUGGCAUACGUGCUGCUUCUUCUUGCCCGGCUCUGCCUCGGGGGCGCCGCCAGCCGCCUGGCAGUUGGGGCAGCGGCAGCGGCGGCACCUCCUGGCCGUGGCCGCCAGGGGGGCCUUGGUCUGCAGCAGCGCAGCGAUCUGGCUCUGGUACUGCGCAAAGUCCGACGGGCCCAACACCAGGCCCCGCUGCAGGGCGGCGGCGGCGGCGGCCGCGGCGGCGGCGGCCGCUGAGGCGGGGAAGCGAGGUGCAUGCGGGCCCCCGGCGCAGGCGCCGGAGAGGCCGCCCCCCGGAACGCCGGAGGUCCCCGGACCGGUGCCCGCCUGCGGGAUACUCCACCACGGGA